UGGUUUUUAGUUUUAAAGUUUAAAAUAUUAUUUUUGUAAAGUAAAGAUACUUUUGUGUAGUGGGACCAA
rnacentral:tRNA from 1 species